GAUGAACGCUAGCGGCAGGCUUAACACAUGCAAGUCGAGGGGUAUAGUUCUUCGGCACUAGAGACCGGCGCACGGGUGCGUAACGCGUAUGCAAUCUACCUUUUGCAGAGGGAUAGCCCAGAGAAAUUUGGAUUAAUACCUCAUAGUAUGUGAGAAUGGCAUCAUCUUCACAUUAAAGUAACAACGGCAAAAGAUGAGCAUGCGUCCCACUAGCUUGUUGGUAAUGUAACGGCUUACCACGGCAACGAUGGGUAGGGGUCCUGAGAGGGAGAUCCCCCACACUGGUACUGAGACACGGACCAAACUCCUACGGGAGGCAGCAGUGAGGAAUAUUGGACAAUGGGCGCAAGCCUGAUCCAGCCAUGCCGCGUGCAGGAUGACGGUCCUAUGGAUUGUAAACUGCUUUUGUACAGGAAGAAACACUGGUUCGUGAACCAGCUUGACGGUACUGUAAGAAUAAGGAUCGGCUAACUCCGUGCCAGCAGCCGCCGUAAAAC
rnacentral:rRNA from 1 species